ensembl:lncRNA
AUAUAAUGGUUCAUUAUCUAGAAUGACAUUAAAUCUUGAGGCAGACAAACUGAUAUGACAAACUGUUUGAUCAUAUACUUCUAUCUCUCCCAUAAAUAUUCUGGAUCCCUCUCAAAAUAAAGCUAUAAACAAGCUUAUCACAACUAGCAUAGGACAAGUGACUCCAAACAUUUCAUGGUAUAGUGACUAACAGUGUUCAGGAUGAAGGUCAAGAUGCAUAAAAGUUAAAGUAAUCACCAAGUCUAACAUGGAAAGAUGAUUAACUACAAGUCCCAAAUUACUUUUAUCUAACACUCAAUAAUUGUCUCUUUUUGUGCAGGUUGACUUGCAAGACAGGUGCCGCCUUCAUCCAAAAAAAGAAGAAAAGUAUACUCUUCAUCGGAGGAAGAUGAAUCGCCACCGGUGGAAAAAAAAAAUUCCCACUGCCCCAAGACCCCCAGCCCCACCACAGACUUGUAGACAGCCUGGACCUGGAACACAUAAUGCAUUGUCCAGCAGCUUCCAGUCGGGAGCAAGAGCAGAGCAAGAGUGGUGCAACAAACCAUCAGAUGUUCAAGGUAUAAUGCCUGAAACAUUUCCAAGGGGUGGAUAAAUGAAUACUAUAGCAUUCUGAUCUCGGUCUUGCAUCUGUAGCACACUGCCAAUUGCCAUGAACAAAAAUUUAAACGAUUUCCU